AUCCAGACCGGCUCCUCGACCUUCACCGCUCCACGAGGCGACUCCCUUUACUGGUCAAAAGUUCAUUUGUGUGUGUGUGUGUGUGUGUGCGUGUGUGUGUGCAUGUGUAUGUGUCUGUGUGUGUGCGUGUGUGUGUGUCUACAUCAGUCUCUGGGGUUUUCACACUGACCGACCUCACCCUCUCGUCUCUCUUCCUCUCACCCUCUCCUCUCACCCUCUCUCUCUCCUCUCACCCUCUCGUCUCUCUUCCUCUCACCCUCUCCUCUCUCCUCCCUCUCUCCUCCCUAUCUCCUCCCUCUCUCCUCUCUCUCCCUCUCACCCUCUCCUUCUCUCUCUCCUCCCUCUCUCUCCCUCUCACCCUCUCCUUCUCUCUCUCCUCCCUCUCUCCUCUCUCUCCCUCUCACCCUCUCCUUCUCUCUCUCCUCCCUCUCUCUUCCUCUCUCCCUCUCACCCUCUCCUCUCACCCUCUCCUCUCUCUCCCUCUCACCCUCUCCUCUCUCCUCCCUCUCUCCUCCCUCUCUCCUCUCUCUUCCUCUCACCCUAUCCUUCUCUCUCUCCUCCCUCUCUCCUCUCUCUCUCCCCCCUCUCCUUCUCUCUUUCCUCCGUCUCUCCUCUCUCUCCCUCUCACCCUCUCCUUCUGUCUCUCCUCCCUCUCUCUCCCUCUCACCCUCUCCUUCUGUCUCUCCUCCCUCUCUCUCCCUCUCACCCUCUCCUUCUCUCUCUCCUCCCUCUCUCUCCCUCUCACCCUCUCCUUCUGUCUCUCCUCCCUCUCUCUCCCUCUCACCCUCUCCUUCUGUCUCUCCUCCCUCUCUCUCCCUCUCACCCUCUCCUUCUCUCUCUCCUCCCUCUCUCUCCCUCUCUCCCUCUCACCCUCUCCUUCUGUCUCUCCUCCCUCUCUCUCCCUCUCACCCUCUCCUUCUGUCUCUCCUCCCUCUCUCUCCCUCUCACCCUCUCCUUCUCUCUCUCCUCCCUCUCUCUCCCUCUCACCCUCUCACCUUCUCUCUCUCCUCU
rnacentral:lncRNA from 1 species